rnacentral:misc_RNA from 1 species
GAAAUGCGAUAAGUAGUGUGAAUUGCAGAAUUCAGUGAAUCAUCGAAUCUUUGAACGCACAUUGCGCCCUAUGGUAUUCCGUAGGGCAUGCCUGUUCGAGCGUCAUUUACACCUUCAAGCCUUGCUUGGUGUUGGGUGACUGUGGCCCCUUUGGGGCCACUCGCCUUAAAGUCAUUGGCGGCCGGUUCGUUGGCUUUGUAGCGCAGCACAUUUGCGUCCUCGAAGCCGCUGGACCAGCUCCCAGAAGCUAAUUUUAAAUGUUUGACCUCGAAUCAGGUAGGGAUACCCGCUGAACUUAAGC